CAGUCUCGCGCUGUCGCGCACGGUACACCCGGAAAUCCUCACUCAUCCCUUCAAUCACGCGCUCCUCCCGCACGCCGCAUUCAUGCCUUCGCCGGUUCGCCCUUGCGUUGCAUCCCUCCCCGUCGCCUCGUUGUCCCACCCCCAUGCUAGGAACCGCGCCUCACCGCCGAACCCCAUGAUUCGCCGUCGCCGCAGAUCCGCCACGCGCGCCAGAAACUGCCUCGGAGCCUCAUCGGCUGCCGCACCGACCCCACUCCUCCAUUCCUCCGCCGCGGUCGACGAAUUAUGAACUACUAUAAUUACGAGGACAGCCGACGGUGGGGUCGCCUCGUCGCAUGGCCCGCACCCCCCACCGUCGGCUGCGCCACCAACGCCGGUCUGCGACGCGCCCGCUCCGCGAUGACCCCACUCCUUUGCCGCGCUCGGCGCCUUCCUCGUCGCACGGCGCGCCCAACCGUCAGCUGCACCGUGAACGCUUGUCCGCCACGCCGCCGGUAUCCCCAUCUCGGAUCCCCACUGCGAACGCCUGUCCUCUCCGGACGUCGUCGACUACUUCUAGCAUCCGCCGCAAUCGGCUUCGCCCCUGCCGCACAGGGCUGAGCCCUCGUUCGCCACUGCUCGAUUUCUCCUCUCCCACGCGGCUCCUCCAUCGUCGUCGCAUCCCGUCACGUCGAUCCGGCGGCGGCGUAGGUGGAGUGGCGGCUCAGGGAGCGGUCGGCACGGCGAUAUGCUGCUCCCGUCGAUCCGGCGGCAGCGCAGGAAGCGGUCGGCGGAGGGAGCGGUGUCUUGCCAAUAUCUCAGGUGCCACCUGACUACCCUCAAGCACCGCUGCCGCCACGCCACGGGUGGACAGGUACUUCUCCGCCUCGCCGGCGCCACCGUCUACCACGCCUCCGCUGUUCGUCGCAUCGGCUGGCACAUGGAGGAGCUGAAGCCAAAUCCUAGCUGCCGCUUCAGUUAGCAUCAACGCUAUUGUAUUUCUUCCAAGAUGAUCCCGGAGCUCAAUGCUAAGGCGGCUGCAGGAGGUGAUGUGGGAGGCAGUUAAGCAAAGAAAGAAUGUGUUCAGAAGCUGCUCAAUCUGAAAAUGGAGGAAAGAAAUCUUCAAGAAGACUUGGGAGUGUGGUAGGUUGCAGGUGAAGAACCACAUGUUGGCGAAUGAGCUUGCACUGUUGAAUGUGUAUGUUUGUGCAUCCAACCUGAAAGAUGCAAAUUCUUGCCUAUGAUAAGUGGAAUGCAUUUAGUUGUUUUUUGUCCGUUGGAUUGACAUAUAUGAACAUUCAGCAGUAGUAAGAGAUCCUUAAGUUGACCACUUGAUAAAUAUAUAUGUGAACUGUUAGAAUGUUGCAUACUAAAUAAUUACACCAAAUUGUUCCCCCUGCUGAAACUAGAUGAGCACUAUCUGAAUGUUGCCUUUUUAUAUGUGAUAUUUCUCUAAAACUGAAUGUGAAUCCUUUAUUGCAGAA